AUUUGGAGUCCUUUAUUUCUGGUGCAUGAAGGCAGCAGCUGAUGUGCUGUGCCUCAAAAGAUGCUUCUGCUCCUGACGUCCGGAUUCCAGCAUGACCCAGUGCAAUGACAGUCACACACUCAGCGCAAGCUGUCCCCCACUCCCUCCGUACUUCCCUCCCCAGGAAAGUGGAUCCUUCUGCAAACCAGUCCCAGCUUGGACAGAGAGAUGCCAGAGGAAAAAGUUUCAGAGGCCAGGUCCUUCCACAGGCUUUGCCCUGUCCAUCACCCUUGAAACUCAGUCCCAUUAAGAGACGAUAACUUUCUGGCUGAUGUGAACUGCUGCAUGACACAUCGGAUAUUGUGUAUAGGACUUGAAGAGGUCGAUGAGAGCUAUCUGAAUCAUUCAUUACCCGGUGAAGUAGGACUGGAAACACCCAGUGGAAGGGAUGCAGGCACAAAGCACCGUCCUCUUCUGCACUCUCAGCAUAACCCUUACAUUGCUGUUUGGAGAAAGGACACAAGCACACACAGAGAAGUAAGAUUGUGGAUAUCACCCAUCAGUCUUUCUGUGGGGAAGAUUACUGGACUGCUCUGCUGGAUGAAAUUCUGCAGACGUUUAGCCCACGGGAGCUAGCUGCGUUGCAUGCAAGGUGCGUCCAGGUAGGAUUUGUACCGGGGAUCCGACGCACACCCCAGUCACUGGACUGUCACGGUCAGGGCUGAUUAGGAAAGGUGUCAGGGACCUUGCAGUCUAACACUGUAAAGCAGCCAAGACUGAGAGGCCAGGGCUUCUCCUCCCACUCUGCUGGUGUUCCACUAAUUGCAGCUCUCCCUAAUUAAAAGUCAGUGAUGUGGCUUUGGCAACUGCAAGCCAGGUCCCCCAGGCGAGCCCUGGGCAGAGGCUGGGUGGCAGGGAAGGAUGGGUUCAUCCCUGGAGCCCAGCACGCUCCCUGCCAAGCCAUGGUCGGAUGCUGCAGAGGAGCCAAGCAUCCAGGAGAGUCCUCAAAAUGAGGAAUAAAAUCAGAGCCAACCUUGCCAGGGACAUGGGGCAGCCGGGGGAUGCUCCGGCCCUGAGCCAUUGUGCUGAGCUGGAGUGAAAUGCUCCGUGGUAGCUGCAAAGUUGCUUUCCAGGUAGCAAUAGUGAGUCUCUGCUAACAAUACGGCUCUGGGAGCUGGGGCUCUGCGGCAGAGGUAGCAAAUCCCACGACAGACUUGUGUGAGCUGGCAACACUCUGCCUCUCCCAGGGGAAAAGAAGGGCCAGCUCGCUGCCAGGCACUUAAAAUAAGACAAAGUAAAAGCUGAUGAUCUUUAGAAGUGCAGUUUCCUGUUGGCUUGUUGGUUGCUGAUCUAACAGCUCUUUCCCCUUCCUUACUUCCAUGUGAGGACAACUCAGUUUUGGUUCAGGUAUGUCUUCCCAUGGGAUAAUAAUCUCUCCAAGCAAAGUCAUCCUAAGGAAAGCCAGGAGCAUCCAAAUGCCAGCACGAAUGUAUAAUGAGCUGCGGACUUCCCCCUACCAUCUGAGCGCUGUUACCAGCCCGCAGGGCUCCUCCUGCCGACACCGAGCGCCUGUUCUCGCCAUCGCCCCCACACCCGGCGUCAUUAUGGUGCUGCCGUAUGGAGCGCUCCGCGGACGACGUCUUGCUCGCCAGGGCAUGGCCGGGGACCUUCUCCAUCCCUCCCGCAGCAGGGACCCUCGAGCAUCCAGGACACCCCGCCACGGCAC